rnacentral:rRNA from 1 species
ACGACCAUACCUACUGGAAAACUCGGGAUCCCGUCCGCUCUCCCAUCGACAAACCAGUAAGGGCUGAACUAGUAGUUGGGUGGGUGACCACCAGCGAAUCCUCGGUGUUGUAUGUU